rnacentral:rRNA from 1 species
GCCUGCGACCAUACCACGCUGAAUACACCGGUUCUCGUCCGAUCACCGAAGUUAAGCAGCGUCGGGUGAGGUUAGUACUUAGGAGGGAGACCACUUGGGAAUACCUCAUGUCGCAGGCGUUA